AGUCUCCUGAAGGAACGUUGAAGACGACGACGUUGAUAGGCCGGGUGUGUAAGUGCAGCGAUGCGUUGAGCUAACCGGUACUAAUGAACCGUGAGGCUUAACCUUACAACGCCGAAG
rnacentral:rRNA from 2 species